AUGGAAACAGCCGGCGGCGCACGGAACUGGUCCGAGCUGCCGGAGGAUGUCUUGCUCACCACCAUGUCGGCCAUGGAGGUCUUCGACGUCGUCCGGGCGAGCGCGGUCUGCUCCUCCUGGAGCUCCACCUACGCCACGUUUCGCCGACUCCGGCUUCCGUCGCCGAAGCAAUCUCCCUGCCUGUUGUAUCCCCACGACGCCUGCGGGCCAGACGGCAUGGCGCUCUACUCCCCGUCAGCCGACGCGACGUUCCGCAUACGGCUUCCGCAUGAUGCCGUCGUCCUUGCCGGCUCGGCGUACGGAUGGCUCUUCGUCACCGACCAGGCGGCCAAUCCCUACUUGCUCAACCCUCUCACCGGCGCGCGGGCCGUGCUCCCGCCCGUCACUAGUUUCCAAUGCGUGGUGGGCAGCUCCUUGGACGACGACGGGAACAUCGUCUACCGCACCGAAGACCCCAGCCUGGCAUCUUAUGGAGACGACGUGCGGUUCUACUCCGUCACCGCACGAGUCGCGCGCUCCUGGAUGUAUCGCCACGUGGCCCUCUCUGCCGGCGGCGCCGCGCCGUCGUGCAUCGUCCUGGUCGUGCACGAGGAGCCGAUGGACCUCCACUUCGCCAGGCCAGGAGACGAGCGCUGGUCCUCGCUAUCCUCCGUUGGCACCGGCUUUAUCAGCGCCGUCUACAACGACAAGGACGGUCUGUUCUACGUGCUCCAGUGCUGCGGCACCGUCCACGCUCUAGACCUCCACGGUCAGACGUCCCCGACGGCAAGGGCUCUCAUCCGCACGCGGGGGCUCGUUGCUCAUCGCCGCUCCCUCGCCGUCACGCCGUGCGGCGACGUCUUGCUGGUGGCGAGGACAUCUUGCCUGUUAGAGCGCCUUGAUAUCUACGACAGCAGGAACGCCUUCUCUGUGUACAAGCUUGACCUCAGCGCGAAGAAGAAGGUGAAAUUAGAGGGCAUCGGAGACCAUGUGCUGCUCCUUGGAAACAAGAGCUCGGCGGUGUGCGCUCCGAUCGUGGACUGCCCCAGGCUAAGACCAAAUUGUGCAUAUCUGGCUGACUUUAGCCGUGCGAGUAUCCCCAAUAGAGAACGCGAGGUGAUCAAGAAGCGGGACGUGGCCAUCUACUGGGACUUUGAGAGCGGGGUAAUGCAUAACAUCUGUAAUAUGUGGCCUCUCCAUUUGCCGGAUAUACCGGAUACGGCGCCGGCUCCAAUUUGGUUAACACCCUCUCCUUUGUAA
rnacentral:rRNA from 1 species